CCUACGGGAGGCAUCAGUAGGGAAUAUUGCACAAUGGGGGAAACCCUGAUGCAGCGACGCCGCGUGAGUGAUGAAGUAUUUCGGUACGUAAAACUCUAUCAGCAGGGAAGAUAAUGACGGUACCUGACUAAGAAGCCCCGGCUAACUACGUGCCAGCAGCCGCGGUAAU
rnacentral:rRNA from 1 species